GUUCUCACUCCCGACGCGUAAAAUACUGACGAUUUGUCACGUCCCUUAACUUCUCAUGCUGACGCUGAAGGUACCCUUCCACGUUUUUAUGCGACGCUGUGGGUUGUCAAUUCAUUCCAAUAUGAACCCGCUCGCGGUGAUAAGAGACGCUUCGAGCAGAGGCUCCAGCCAUCCAUUUACUCCAAUAAUAACCCCGUCACUGCGAAACGUGACGCCUUGAAGUACAAUCUAACUGGAGAACCGGGGACCCUCUCCGCGAACGGGUUUUUCUCCCUAAUUUAAUGCUUUCUUUUAAUGACAUCCUUAACAUUUCUCAACAAAAACACAUGAAAGUAACACUGAUAAUUCAACAAUAAAAUCGCUUCAUUUUCCAAAGUGAUUCACGAUCUGAAAGUGCGCAGAUUUAACGUACAUAAUCCUUGGUUGGGUUUAUUAUUUUUAUUUCACACUUAAAACACAUUUAUAGUUUUAUUCACCACUCCUGUUAGUUUUGGAUGCGCUCGGCUCCAACCAAUCAGACGCAACCGGUGUAAGCAAAGGAUGAUGGGAGAACGGAGAGACCCGUUUAUAAGAAUAAGAAAAGGAGGCGGAAUUGAUUGAUUCUAAUGCAGAUCAGCAUCAAUGUCCACGUGAAGAACCUAGUUAUGUUGCCAGUGUCAACCCAACAAAAGGCACUUUCACAAUAUAUAAAAGAAGUGUAUGGAACUGAGGUGCUUCCUCAGGUUGUUGGAGGAUGGAGAAGAGGACGCAGCCGUGACUUGUGAGAUGGCGUCUGAGUCAGCUACUACUCACUAGGAGAUCAGAAACAUGGUGUCCUUGCAAAAGUGGAAAGAGGCCUUGUCUUAUAGACAAUAUGUUAGCUACUCUGGAUCCACUGUCACACCGUGUGUGUCAGUGUGGCAAACAAGUAGUUGUGAGGUGUCUGGACUGCCUGCCUCUUCCAUUCCUUUGUGCCAAGUGUGAUAUUGCAGUUCACACACGCUUUGUCCUGCACAACAGAGAGGCAGUAACAGGAGGGUUUUUGCAGCCUUCAUCAGAGUUUCACAAGCCAAUAGGUACGGUUUUUAAGUCCUAUGCAUUUCUUGCUAUGUUCUAUGAGUGGGUGCUGUUAUUGUAUUUAUAUUGUGUAUCAUUUAAUUUCCAAUUCUUUUUAUAUAUAUUGUGUGUUUUUAAUGUUAGUUCGGCUGUUGCCUGUGCAAAGGCCAGACCAUGUGUGUGACUGCCCAGCAGGCUGUUAUAACCUUGCACUGCCAGUGGUGAGCUGCACCAGCUGUGACCUAAUGUGGUCCCCCUCAGUUAAGGACAUCCUGGGUAGUGGAUAUUGGCCUGGCACCUUAAAUUUCUGCACCCUGUUUUCAAUGGAUGCCUUUCAGUCUUUCUAUGACAUUAAGAAGGCUGCACCAGGGAUGUCACUUAAGGCAUUUGUCAAAAUGCUGGAUGAAAGAACAGCCCAUUUCGGAAGGACUGGCCGAAUAUCAGCUGAUGCCUUCAGUAAAAGCUUUGUGGAGUGGAGUGCUGUUUGAGGUGGACAGGAUGUGCAAGGAGCCAUGCGUUAGCUGUCCUGCCUGCACUCCAGACGUGCUUGCCGUCUCAGUUGAUGGAAACCGUAAGCUUUAUCGCUUUCAAUCUAAUGCAAGCACUUCAGAGCAGGCGAACUUUGAAGGUGUCUUCAUUGAAAAAGAUGAAGUAGCUGAGUUUAUGAAAUACAUCCAGAGACACACAAAUAAUGUAAGAGACUCAUAUAUAUAUAUAUAUAUAUAUAUGCUGUCAGCGUUAAUCUUGUUAAAAUGACGUUAACGCCAUAAACAUAUACACGUGUGUGUAUAAAUACAUAUGGAUGGGUGUAUAUUCAUUUUAUUUUUCUCUUGGUGUUGUUAUAAUACUAUUUACUUUACUUUUUCUUAAUGUAUACUUAAUUUUAGCAUCCCAGGACAUAUUACGUUCCUUUGCUCCGAUGUGUCCUGUAAAUAUUUCCCAUAUUUAACCAAGGUGGCUCAGCUGAGGACUCUUGUCAAUGCGUCCUUUUCUCUCCGUCAUGCAUGCAAAGGCUCUCAUUUGGAAAUGCGAGAUCAAAUGGGGAGGUGCGUUUCAGGAUGGGGCCGGUUCUACAGUUGGAAAAGAGGUGGGACAAGUAAACAGUUUCCUGUCUAGGGCGGCCAUCACAAUGAAGUACAUGUCUAAAGCAGGGCGAACAGACAUGCUGACCCUCCUGGCUUUGGGUUGGAACAAAAGGAAAGUGGAACAACUGGGCCGCAGUUUGAGCCAGAGAUAUCUAAAGAUCAUAAGGAUCCUUAGAGAACAAGUGGAGAGCCUGAAUGCGACCAAAAAUGAGCUGGGUGUGGAUGACGACACACUGCAGCAAUGGGUGGCCGAUGUGCAGAAAUGGGCUGAAGAAACUGAUCAAACUGAUGGCAGCCUUGGAGCGUUGCAGGCACGAAUAGAGGAGCUUGUCGUCAUCAUCAGAGUGCGAACACAAAGUCUUUACAGACAAAAUGGUGUCACAGUUUCUUUGAAAUGGACCGUUUGAUGCUCAGUUUGUACAGCUUGUACAGCUACUUUGUAAACAGAAUAAAAUCAGAUCCAGAUAGCAACAAGAGGUGACACAGAAUUCGCAAAGUCAUCUUAGAUGAGAAGAAACGGUUGGCGGCUGCUGUUGACGACUACAACAAGCUUGCUGAACCAACAAAGCAAAUCGUAUCCAGUGAUGCCCUCAUCCAGACCGACAUUUGGCCCUGGCAGAGCACAAGUGAACCUGCUGCUGACCUCCAGACAAAGAGAAAGGUCUUUGAGAAGGUGAUGGCUGUGAGGCGCCUGAGAGAGGAGGAGAUGAUCCUUUGCAGGGAGAUGCGGCAUCACUGGACAGUGUUACGAAUGCGAUCUGUGGUGUUGGACAAUCUCCUCAGACUCCUCCCUUGUUGGCAUGUCGGAGGAUGCACAGAAGGGACUCCAUAGCCUGGUUUAAAAAAAACAAAGUGAACUGAAAGCUGAAAUGCUGAAAAUAAAGGACAUGUACAAGAGAAUCCUCAGCCACCAACCACUCCUGGAAAUGGACUCGGAGGAGGAGGAAGACAUUCCAGACGAUGCCACUGAGAGUGAUUUGAGCACUUCUGAUGAAGACUGAUUGUGUCAUCAUUGAUGUUAUUUUUGGUAAAAUAAAAAGUUAAUCACA